UGCUUAUUAAGAGAAGUGGAGGGACUUGGCCCGAUGAGACUUCAGCAACCGAUCUCAAGACACGGUGCUACAACCAACGUUCAUUCGAUUGAUAAGUC
rnacentral:ncRNA from 2 species